rnacentral:other from 1 species
AGAGUCCUGAUGUGUUUGUUGCAUUAGCAGAUGUUUUGACCUAACAUUUUCACUUUGGGAGUUUGCGUUUUCAAGUCGCGUUCAUGCCUCGUUAUAGGGGACCUACAUAAACUUGGAACAGGACACCCACCUGCAGGGAGCAGGAUCAAAACGAAGCAAUUACGUGACGGCACGAUUGGGGCUCUU